rnacentral:lncRNA from 1 species
AAUAAAUAGAAUAUUUGACUUUUGGUCAUCCUAAAAAUACAGUAAAAACACCAAUACCUUGUUAGUUUUUUGGUACAAAAAUAAGAUUAUUAGUAAAUUCCCAGGAGUUAAAAUGCAUUAUAAUUUAUACAAUCACUAACAAUAAGUAUGUGCAUAACUUUAGCUUACCUCACUUCUCUUCUUCCAUCACCAAAGUUUCUCCCCCAUCAUGGCUUUGAGCUUCUUCUUCAGCCCUUUCCAAAUAUGCAUCCUCCUUCUUCCUUUUCGUCUCAAUUAUCUCCUUGCCCGCGCCUUGCAAUUGAUUCACUUCCUUCCGGAUUCACGAUUCAACUUUCCUUUUCCCCUUGUCCAACAUAGCAUGAUCUCCACCUUCUGAUCCUAAACUCACAGAAGUACGUUGCAUCGAAGCCUUAUGUAGGACUUCUUAUUGUUAUACUUUUCUUCUUAGCUUACGAAAUUUGAAUGAGUGAUUUUUUGAAAUAGAGAAAAGAUGGUGAGAAAUUAGGGUUUGAGAGAUUGAAUUGUAAGAAAAAACAGAUUAAAUGAGUUAUCGCGAGAUUGAGAUGAAAUCAAUGAGAAAACGUAGAACAAGUUGUGGAAGACGACAUAGAAAAAGUGGAGGAGACGAAUUUGACGCAUGAUGUUAGAAAGGGUUAGAGAAAUUUCGUAAACAUUGAAGGUUAGAUUGGUUUCAAAUGAACCAUCAACGUUCAAAGCUUCUUCGUGAGUUAUGUUUCUUUCGUUAUACAUUUACAUCCUCUUCCUUGAUUGCUUCUUCUUCAGAAGUAUACUAACAUGAUUUUUCUUUUUCCAUUUUAUAAUUUUGCUUCAAAUUUUAGGAAAUAUGAUUCUAUUAAUCCCAAUCCUUAAUUUUUGCCCGAUAAGCCAAUGCAAGUAAUCUUUUAAUCUUAUUAUCAUCUCAUAAGUAAUAUUAUUGUUUAUUGUUAUAGUUUAAGACUCAGUUUGACUUAGUAUUGAAUCUUAUUACACUUUAAGACUUGAUGUUACAUUGUUGAAGUAUCAGUUACAAACUACAAUAUAUGAUAGGUUUGGUUGCACAUAUGCUCAAAUUCUGGAUGAAUGAAUCACUGGCUUCUGUAUUUGGGUAUUACUAUUGCUUGAGUGGAGCUACGUUUCUUUAGAGUGAAGCUUUGAUACGUUAGCAAAGUAAACUCUAGAUAAAUGAACAUCGGCUUCUGUAUUUUGGUAUUACUAUUGACUUGCAUUAAAAGCUUGCCUUUUUUGCUUUAAACACUUGAUUUCUUAAGGCUUUAUAUUUGGGGUUGAGCCUUACUGUGUUAUCCGUAGCAUUGAAGAAAAGAAAGAAGCACAUGAAAAAUUCAUUGGACAACUUUUUGAUCCUGCAUCUGGAGUGUUGAAUGAGGGCACAAUGAGACUUACUUCACCACUCAUUUGUAUUUAGGUAGCUUUUAAGUUGAAAUACGUUUGUUUUUUAUAACUUUAAAAAUUUUGAACACAAUAUGGGAACUUAGAAAAUUUUGAACACGAUAUGGGAACUUAGAAAAUUUUGAGGUUUUGACUUGCUUUCUAAUGAAAUGAGUAAUUUUUGUUGUUUUGUAUCCUUGUUUAGGGAAUUUACUGGCAUAGAUAUUGUGUUUCUACACACCACCUCAUAUCUGCAUGAUUUUUGUAAUUUGAUUAUAUUUGGAUUUUUUUGUUUAUUUUCUUCAUAUACGUACUAUGAUUUUCUCGCCUCAUAUGUGACAUGUAUUUUUAGGAGAUGUGUCUUGAUUGUCUUAAUUCUUAACCUAUAAGUACCUUCAUUUGACAAUCCCAAUCAUGCUGUUAUUUUAAUCUGGAUUCUCCAAAUUUAAUGUCUAUAUAUAUCCUCUACCUAAUUUGUUGGAACUGAGUUUCAAUUGAACCUGACUUUUAUAUUUUUAUGAAACAUGCAAUAUCAUUCUCUGAUUUUUUUCUUGUCAGAUAUUUUAACUUCCAUGUUAAAGGUUUGCUUCCUCAUUUGUAAUGUUAUCUUUCUCUAGAAAAAAUGUGUCCUCUUUGAUGUUAAUCUUUAUUCUGAAACUCUUAUUCCCUUCUUCUUUGAGCUCAUGGGCUCUUUACAAAAAAAUUGGGGAAUCCAAUUCCACCCCAUUGUGUUAUGAAAAUGCAGCUUGCAAGGACAUAGUCCAUUUCAAGGUAUUAAUAAUGUUGCUUUACUUAUGAUCCCCUUCAUAAGAUUAUUUGACGAUGUGCUUAAUUUUUUGACUUAAGUAACUUUCAUAAAAUGCUUUUAGUUUGGAUAUUACGAAACCCGAUGAAAAAAGCAGUGGUCUAUUACCUAUGCUAACUGGCCUAGCCUCACGUAAACUUCAGGAACAUAAUCACCAUUUUUUGGCUGAUUAUGGAGGAUGGAUUGUGUUUUCCAAACUUGUUUUUGGUAACAUGGAUGGAUUUGCAUUAUGGCUUUAGGUGCUGUUUAUUAUGAAGGGUGGACUGUGUAUUCUAAAGCAUAAAGUUGGAGAUUGAUCAUUUAGUUACUAUGAUUUUCUUGUGUAUUGAAAUGGUGUUGAUAGAUAAUGUAGUAAUUAUGAUAUCGAUUCAUAAAAAUGCUUACUUUGAGUUUUGAUUAUGUCAUUGAUGGAUUGAGCAAAAUCUGUUUAAGAAAAUGCUUCAAUCAAUUACUCAUUGUGUUACCCACCAUUAAUCGUGUUCUGUAUCUUUUUAAUACAAUGUUGAGGUGGAAAUAUGCCUCCAAAUCAUAUAUCUGAUAUACAUAUUGUAGGUACAUUUCAAACAUUUGAACAAAAAAGUGGAUAAACGUUAUGAUCACCUAAGGUCAACUAGAUAGACCAAUUCCUUAUGAAGAUGAUGUGCUUUCUACUCCAAAUGUGUGUAGUGAUUUACUUUUCACUCUAUCCUGCUCUAAUAGAAGCUUGUAACUUCAUCCCUACACAUAGACACAUUUUGUAAAUUAUUUUUCACUCAUUCUUUUUGUUUCUAGUUUCCUGUUUUCCCUUAAAAUUUUCUGUGGGAAAAACAUUACUCAACCUUAACAUUGCUCAAAAUUAUUUGAAAGCAUUCUCAUCUAUAAAACCUACUUAUUUGAAAGCAACCUAAUAAAAUAAUAUUUUGACUUUAUCUCUUGUAUCUAGUGAUCUACUCUCCAUUAUAUGAUUUGAAUUGUAUGUUCAUGUUUGAGUCAAUGGUAUAAAGGAUAUUUUAUUUAUGAACACAAAUUUGAGUUGUUUUAGUAUUCUGGAAUAUUUCUUAUUUUAUCAAGUUCGAUACCACAGCAGGAAAAAGCUAGUAGAACAAUGACCACAUACUAGGGGACAAUGUGUUGACAUAUACUAUAUGUUGUUGCGUGCUUGAAUUCCUUUUAUACUUAUAUUUCAUUAUAGAAGUGAUGGGUUAGAUUUUAGCUAAUUGUUUUCCCUCAGGCCAGGCAAAGAAAAUGGUAAACAAUGCAACAUGGUAUCUGUUGAUAAUUCUAGCCGUGUUCCACAAUAGCCCCAUAGCCAAAAUGCUAAUCAUUAUUUGCCUCAUUUGAUUCUGGUAAAUGGCUAACUGCCUUUUAAUUCUUGUUAUCAGACUAGCUCUUUACACGUUCACCUAGGAAGAAGCUUGGAAGUUUUUGCUAGGGGAACCUGUGAUUAAUUAGGUAGUUUUGUUGUGUGAUAGAUAAACAUUUAUUUUGAUUCAUGAUGCAUACCCUUGUAAAUAUUUACAUCUAAGUAUAGUAUGCAUAUCGUAUGAUGGUGGGUUGGGCAAAAUUGCUAAACAAUCCAUAUGACUUGCAACACCGAGAAGAUUGCCAUGUGCCCCCAAUGCCCAAUACAGCC